rnacentral:lncRNA from 1 species
UACAACACAAUUGCAUGGACAUUAUCACGAUAGAAAUCGGGCGGAAUUAAAUGAAUAAGCAAUGGUAUUUACCAUUUCGACGAGGGUAUGUACAUAUUCGACGACGGUAUUAAUUUAUUAAUCGAAGGUAUGUUCUCCACAUGCAAAACUCACCUAAUAAUAUCAACAAUGUCUAUAUACACUACAAUGAUAAAUAUGCAACGGUAUUACACUAUUAGGAGAUGGUAUUAAUCAAGUAAUCGACGAUAUUCAUCAACAUUACGAAGGUAUUUAUCUCAUAUUCAAAGGUUGUUAGAAUAGAAUGAAAGCAUACUUAAUUAAAAACAAAAUUGCAUGGACAUUAACAUGAUAGAUAUACGACGGUAUUUACAUUUUUUGACGAUGGUAUUUAAGAUUUCGACGACGGUAUGUACAUAUUAUACGACGGUAAUACGCUAUUACUCGAAGAUAUAUUUUCCAUAAGCAAAAUACACCUAAUAUUAGCAACAAUUUCUAUGUACACUAGAAUGAUAAAUAUGCAACGGUAUUAAACUAUUACUCAACGGUAUUUACGAAAUAUACUUCAGUAUUUAAAAUAAAAGUAAGAAUUACCUUUAGUUGAUAGAUAUGCGAUGGAAUUUCUUUUCUCCCAAUUCUCCAAUGAAAUGGCAGCUGAGAACCCCAAAGCUUCCAAGAAGAAGAAUUAUAACUCAACAAAUAUGGAGGCCUUUGAGACAACUUGUUUUGAAUGUUUGUGUCGUAUUUAAUUCAUCCUUUCAACAUAUAUGGAGGUCUUUGUGUUUAAUUUAUGUUUAAUUUACUCACCCGUGAAUGUACUAGGAAUCACUUUAUGUUGACAUGAGUGUACUUGCAAGAACUUUAUAUUCAGGUGAAUGUGAAAUUAAAAGGAGCCAGACGUACUUAGAAUACCGUUGAAAAUAAAUUAAAUACCGUCGUCGAAAAAAGAAAAUACCAUCGUCAUAAUCACUAUACUGUCUGAAUAUUUGAGAAUAUCGACCGGCGGUAUUAUCAUUUGUUCCGAUGGUAUUUUAAGUUGUUUAGACAGUAUUUUCUAUGGUGUAGAGAAUCUUUUGCAUCCUUUUAACCUGUAAAUAUUAUUUUCGUAUAAUAUUUACAUAUGUGCGGUAUUUCAAACUCAUUUCCUUCGGUGGUAUUUUAGGCACAAAAGGUGAUGGGGGAAUCAUAAGAGGACAAAUAAUAGAGAAUCAUAGUACACUCCUUCAACUCAUGCGUGAACAAUUAUUGAAGAAUCGUGACACCAUAAAUAACCGUGUACAUGUGUGAUGACAAAAUAUAUUAAAAAAAUUAAAAUGGUUAAAACUUGUAGAUGAUUGAAAAAGUGGUUAAAAGUUGUAGACAUUUUCUAAGAGUUGGGUAUUUUAGCAAAUCCCCC